rnacentral:rRNA from 1 species
GACGAACGCUGGCGGCGUGCCUAAUACAUGCAAGUCGAGCGAAGUUUUUCUGGUGCUUGCACCGGAAAAACUUAGCGGCGAACGGGUGAGUAACACGUAAAGAACCUGCCUCAUAGACUGGGACAACUAUUGGAAACGAUAGCUAAUACCGGAUAACAGCAUUAACUGCAUGGUUGAUGUUUAAAAGUUGGUUUUGCUAACACUAUGAGAUGGCUUUGCGGUGCAUUAGCUAGUUGGUGGGGUAAAGGCCUACCAAGGCGACGAUGCAUAGCCGACCUGAGAGGGUGAUCGGCCACACUGGGACUGAGACACGGCCCAGACUCCUGCGGGAGGCAGCAGUAGGGAAUCUUCCGCAAUGGGCGAAAGCCUGACGGAGCAACGCCGCGUGAGUGAAGAAGGAUUUCGGUUCGUAAAGCUCUGUUGUUAGGGAAGAAUGAUUGUGUAGUAACGAUACACAGUAGAGACGGUACCUAACCAGAAAGCCACGGCUAACUACGUG